rnacentral:lncRNA from 1 species
AAGGCCCUAGCCCACGCACAUUUUUUUGGCCCCCCUGACAUCUGUUUUUUGGACUGUUUAGGGUAAGCUCCCAAAAGGAAAAAAAAAUUGAGGAAUGAGCUCACACAAAAUUAUUAUUGAGCAACCAAGACUGUAUAGAAUUGCAAAACUAAAAGCCCAAUUUCAAUUUCAUUUAUAGAUAUUCACGGAUAUUCACUCGAGACAAUACCAAUUUAAAUCAAAAUAAAAAAAUCCUAUGUCAGAAAAGUAGGACUGAGUUCUGAUGUUCUGCUGAAACUCCACUAGCUCACGGAGUUGGAUGACUUAAGUGUAGUGAUGACAUGCAUCAGCAGCACCUACCCCCACCCCACCAUUCGAUAACCUGCGGACCACAAGAUCACGUGAAUAGAUCAAUAAAGUAACGAUUUUCAAUGAUAAAUUGCAAUAUGACGAGCAG